GGAGGAUUGCUUGGUGGAGUUGCUACAUCUUGGCUUGUUGGACCUGCCUGGAAGUACGAGUCCCUGGCAAAUGAUGGUGGAAGAAUAUUUGUCGACAGGGCACCAAUUAAAUCUCUCUCUAACAGAAAGCGGAAUGAUAGGCAUAUCAAUUGAAUUGUUUAUAUCAUAGCAGAACUCCCACCGAAGCUCUCAUCUUGGCUUUCGUCGAUUGUAAAUGAGAGUUGGUGACACCCCAUGUCAACGCCUUGUGAUUGCAACCAACAUGCUUUAGUUUAUUAAAGUUGCU
rnacentral:misc_RNA from 1 species